UUCUAACCCUAGCCGCCGCAUAACACAGCCCUCUCUCUAUCUCUCUGCGUUUUUUUGUUCUUGCUGAUCAACAACCACCAUCACAUUUCCUCUAAAUUUUCUUUCUCUCAUUUCUCUUAAAUAAUUACAGCAACCUCAAUACUACUAAUAUUUCUAGGAUUUUUCUUUCUAUCUCGUAUGUCUUAUUCUUUUUACUGGGUUCUGAUUCGGGGUAUUUGUUUUUCCGUUUAAUUCCACUGUUACUGGUUUAUAUCCCAAAUUGUUAAAACCAAAGUGUUUCUUAGAGCUUGUCAAAUGGAAGAACUGGAUACUCACAGAAGUGAGAUCUUAGGAAAAGUCAGCAAGCAUUAUUCAAAGGGAUGUUCGUUCCUAUUUGGCCCACCAAAGUUUCAUCUCGAUUCGCUUGUCUGCUAUACAGAUACAAGCUAUCUGCCAAGUUUCUCAAAAUAUUAUCCUACUGGUUCUAUUGAAGGAAAACUUAAACAUGAGAAGACUCAUGAGUUCUUUUAUAUGACAACUUGCUCGGAAAGUAUACGAGGGAUUGCAAGAGGCUUCUAUCCUGAUCAUUCAGAGGUGUUUAUGCAUGCAUAUUGCUAGGAAGGCAUACAAUAGAUUGUACAGCUCAGCUAUUUCUAUUCAAACUGGUAUGCGAGGGAUGGCUGCUCGCUGUGAGCUUCACUUUAGGAAGCAGACCAGUGCAGCUAUUAUCAUUCAGAGCCACUGCCCGAAAUACUUGGCCCAACAUCAUUUUAUAAACUUAAAAAGGCAGCAAUUGCCACCCAAUGUGCAUGGAGAGGGAAAGUCGAAAUCUCAAGAUGGCUGCAAGAGAAACUGGAGCUCUCCAAGCUGCCAAGAAAUAGCUUGAAAAGCAAGUUGAAGAUCUUACAUUGAGGUUGCAGCUGGAAAAACGCACGAGGGUAGAUAACUAUUAUUUUCAGUGUGAACUGCCAACUGUAAUUGUUUUAUUGUACCAGACUGACAGUUUUCCUGACCCAUGUUAAGCAUAUUAUUUAAUUUAUAAGAUAUUAUUGUAGUAAGAUUGGUUAGCUCUAGACAAUACUUAUCUGGAAACUUUAAUUGGUGGACCAAACGUGUAUUGUACAUAAUAUAUUUUUGUUUCUAGACACAAACACACUGUCAAGUAUAUCUUCCAUUAGUGGCGGUUUUGUAUAUAAUGUAUUUUGAUUCAACUAUAUAGGUCAUUCGCUUGCAAAGCUUCUUAAAUCUCUUGGAACAAAUGUAGGUUGACAUGAAAGAAGCAAAAAAACAAGAAAAUGAAAAAUUACAAUCUGCUUUGCACGAGAUGCAACUUCAGUUCAAAGAAACCAAGUCAUUGCUUCAAAAGGAGCGUGACUGCGUGAGGCUGCAAAAAGAGAAGCAGAGACAGUGCCUGUCAUACAGGAGGUUCCUGUUGUUGACCAUCCUUUGUUGGAGAGAAGCUAACGGGUGAAAAUGAGCAACUGAAGACCUUGGUGAGUUCAUUGGAAAAGAAAAUUGAUGAAACUGAGAAAAGGUAUGAAGAGGCAAAUAAACUCAGCGAAGAAAGGUUGAAGCAAGUUUUGGAUGCUGAAUCGAUAAUAAUCCAGUUCAAAACUUCUAUGCAAAGUAUUGAAGAGAAAUUCUUGGAUAUGCUGAAAAUCAAGUUCUUCGGCAACAAUCUCUACUUAACUCGAAACCUACAAUAUUUUCAUCCUCUAUUUGUAUUCUAGAGAAGGUCUUACCUAGGCACACAACUACUUAGGCACGAUUUUUAGCCCCACACAC